rnacentral:rRNA from 1 species
GGAGAAUGUUAUCACGGGAGACACACGGCGGGUGCUAACGUCCGUCGUGAAGAGGGAAACAACCCAGACCGCCAGCUAAGGUCCCAAAGUCAUGGUUAAGUGGGAAACGAUGUGGGAAGGCCCAGACAGCCAGGAUGUUGGCUUAGAAGCAGCCAUCAUUUAAAGAAAGCGUAAUAGCUCACUGGUCGAGUCGGCCUGCGCGGAAGAUGUAACGGGGCUAAACCAUGCACCGAAGCUGCGGCAGCGACGCUGAUGCGUUGUUGGGUAGGGGAGCGUUCUGUAAGCCUGYGAAGGUGGCCUGUGAGGGUUGCUGGAGGUAUCAGAAGUGCGAAUGCUGACAUAAGUAACGAUAAAGCGGGUGAAAAGCCCGCUCGCCGGAAGACCAAGGGUUCCUGUCCAACGUUAAUCGGGGCAGGGUGAGUCGACCCCUAAGGCGAGGCCGAAAGGCGUAGUCGAUGGGAAACGGGUUAAUAUUCCCGUACUUGGUGUUACUGCGAAGGGGGGACGGAGAAGGCUAUGUUGGCCGGGCGACGGUUGUCCCGGUUUAAGCGUGUAGGG